UUUUAGCCCCGAUAGCAGCGGCAUCCUUUGUCUUUUUUUUCUUUAAAAAAGAUAAAGAUAGAGCGGAGAGCGGGAUUAAGC
rnacentral:sRNA from 1 species